GGUUGACCUCGAAUCAGGUAGGAAUACCCGCUGAACUUAAGCAUAUC
rnacentral:rRNA from 1 species